CUACGGGGGGGGCGAGCGUUGUCCGGAAUCAUUGGGCGUAAAGGGUGAGUAGGCGGGAUGGUAAGUCAGAGGUGAAAGUCCAGGGCUCAACUCUGGAUCUGCCUCUGAUACUGCUGUCCUUGAGUGCGGGAGAGGGAGGUGGAAUUCCCGGUGUAGCGGUGAAAUGCGUAGAUAUCGGGAAGAACACCAGUGGCGAAGGCGGCUUCCUGGCCCGCAACUGACGCUGAAUCACGAAAGCGUGGGGAGCAAACAGGAUUAGAAACCCCAGUAGUCC
rnacentral:rRNA from 1 species